UCCAAAUGGAUGGAGUGAAAUGGGUCUUUUUUUUUAGUUUUGUAUCAGAGGUAAUGUUUUCAUUUGUUCUGAAAUGAACAUGUCUGGUUUGCUGAAAACUUUGUUUCACAUCCACUGGAAACCUUGUGUUGUGUUCAGGAUUAUUUUUUUCUUUUAAAAUUCAGAUACUGAAACAAAAAGUGAUCUUCUUUUACAUAACUAAUAUACAGCCUGCUAAAUGAGUUCCCAAAGCCUUGAGUGUGAGCCAGAUUUAUUUUUGAUUCAGAAGGUCCUUUCAGUGUGAUCUGCAUAUUGCCUCCUCUGUGGACUGGGUAGUUAAAGCAGCAUUUAUCUGUCUGUAGACUGCACUCUGGAAAAUCCUUAGUGGGCUGAUCCCCUGGGAGAUAAGACUGGAAUCUACAGCCUGGCCUGAGCAGUGGCACUGUCAGAUGUUGCCUUUGUGUAAUACCUGCACCACCACCUGGAAUGUGAAAUGCUCACAGCUCUGGGUUUCCUUUAGGAGCUUUAGUGCCACCACUGAAGUGCAGAGAAAAUCUUUCUCUUGCCCACCUGCUCCCUGUCCCUAGGUUUUGCUUUGGGUUUGCAGUGUUACCAGAUGCAAGUGUUUCAUUUACAAGCUGCAAAUGUUUAGGGGAGUGUAAAGACUUUGGUGGGCUGUGCCAGUCGUGGAAACCUAAUCUGCUGCCACGCUGUCAUGCCUCUCUGAAAGGGAACUGCUGCAGAAUCUAAAUGCUGCAAGGAUGGAUGGGACAAAGAUCAAAAGUCAAACCAUCAAAUUCCUGGUGCUGCUGAGGGCUGCCCUGAGGAAGGAGAGGAUUGCCCAGAGUGCAGAAAGGCAACCAGCUACCUACAGCUCUGUGUUAUGUGUCCCCAGCACCACUAUGCUGUAGCACAGCUGUAUGUGUGGAAUAUUUCUUACAAGGCAGCAUGAACAGUGGUGGGUGUCCUCACAUUUCCAGGUGGAGGAACCAGACCAUGGAGGGCAUAAAGGAUUUGUCCAAAGGAUCAGCAAGUCAUUUUUAAGCAAGGAGUCCUCAUCUACCUAGCCACCAGACAUUCAUCUUGUCCUGCAAACUUCCAGCUAGAUGAAUUGCUGCUUGACAGAAAUAUGUGUGUAUACAUAUCCACAUAAAUAUGUUUCCGAAGGAAGAAAAGAAA